rnacentral:misc_RNA from 1 species
GUUGACAAAUGCCCAUUUAUAUAUUCCAAUGCAUCAUUCCCUCACUGCAGGUGGCUAGUGAAGAAAGGGAAGAGCAAGAAAGCAGAUAAGACCCUCCACAGGUUACGUAAGGACUACACUGAGGAAGAGAUAAAGGAAGAACUGAACGACAUUGAGUUUACUGUACUGAACUCAAACAAUUCUUUAAGGGACGCAUUUAGUGAUAUAUUUAGAUGGAGGAUACUGGAAAGGAUACUGUUGGGAGUUAUACUGCAAAAGGAAUGUCAUCAUGUAUUACUCAACCUCAAUAUUCUGCAGUAUAGACGUAUCCAGUUAUGCUGCUACAGCAAUAGUGGGUGUGGUAAACUUCUUGACUACUCUCAUCACUCUCUUUAUUGUCGACAAGGUUGAACGUAAGACCCUGUUGCUAGUUGGGGCACUUUGUAUCUAUACUGGCAGCUGGUCUCCUCAUUUAUAUCUUUAAUGUUGAUGAGGAGAGAGAGGAGGAGGAGAGACAGGUUGUUGGAUAUUUUGUGGCUCUCCUGAUUGUACUCUUUGUGUCUUUCUUUGCAUCUACCUGGGGGCCAGUUGUUUGGGUAAUGACUAGUGAAAUAUUCCCUCUCUCUGUUGGAGUUUUUGGGAACUUUGUGGUUGCUAUGGUAACCCCAUUACUUCUCGGUUCUGUACUAAAGACGGCCGGUACAUUCUACAUACUGGCAGGGUUUCUCUUUGCCUCAUUUUUAUUUGUGUUGCUAACACUUCCUGAAACAAAAGGAGAGAGUUUAGAGAGAACAAGAACAUAAAAAAUUUAAAAAAACAAGAUUGAGUAUAGCUGCAUGGGAAAAUGUGUUGUUGUCCAUGGUCUAAUGCUUGUAGGGUAAGGACUGCACAAGAAGAGGACACUGUAGCCAUUGUUGGUAUAAAGAAUGAGAACA